rnacentral:lncRNA from 1 species
CUCACGGCCCUGAGCAGCAGCCCCCACCCCCCGCCCGCAACAACUGCAGGCUCAGAACAGAGCAUGAAAGGGUGUCCGUAUACAAUGUGCCCAAAUAUUUAAAAGUCAGAAGUCAAACCAACAGGUUUGUAAAUAUAAUAUUUCUAUCUUCCCACUUACUGUAGAGUAGGUCCUAAACACCCCUCCAAAGCCCAUAGGUUGAAGCCUGGCUCCCAGCCGGAGACUGUUAGCAGACUGGAGAAGCUUUAGGAGUGAGGCCUGCUGGAAGGAAGUUAGAUCACUGAGCUGUGCCCUCGAAGGAGGAGAUACGGGAUGCCAGCUCUUUCUUCCUUUUUUCUAUUCUUUUUUUUUUUUUUUACUUCUCUGCAUCCACAGAGAAGGAAGAAAAAAAGGUGGUGGAAUCCCUCACUUCAGGUGAGAUUAGGGAGAUGUGUAAAAUAUGAGAAACAGUGCAAAAUUUUCUAGAAAAGUACCACCUGAAUAAGGUUUACUGGAGCUAUAUCCUCGGCCCCUAGCAUACUAUCUUAACAGAUGUAACUGACAAGUACUGGAAAGGCUAGAACUCUGCAUCAGAAGGUGGUCACUCUGGAAAGCUGGCGCCUGACCCCGAUUCCUCAGCCUCUUGCUGAUACCCUCUUCUUCCUACCCCUGGGUCUGUUGGCAUGAAGUUGUUGCCUGCUCCCAGGUCUCAUCGUGUAGUUCAGGCUGGCCUCAAACGCCUGAUAAUGAAGAGGAAAGUCCCUCCUGGCCUGGAACUGGGCAACUAUGGGUUACCUGCCCGCUAAGAUCCUGCGGACACUGACAGUACAUACCCAUCUGUGUGCAGAGGCUGGAUGUGCGUUAUGAAGCUUUGAAGUGCCAGGUCUCAGUGCUUGAAGUGACUCCAAGCACUUGCAUCGUUGCUGAGAGUGAUGUAUACUUUGCUGUGCACAGCACUUGGUCUGUCAAACGUGAGGUUUGUUCAUGUUAUUCUCCCCUUCGGUGGAACAGGGAACUCUUCUGCGAGGCCUGAGACAUCUCUGCUUUUGAAGCCGCCACCUCCAACUUCACCUGGCCCGAAGCAUGACAGAGGAGCGAGCCUCACAAUACAUCUGACUACAAGCUCCUUUCUCCAGCCAGUGGGUUUUUGUUAGGGGUAGGGUGGUAGGGAUGGAAAGAUGAUGAGAUGGAAGGGACUGGUUUAGCCAGAUUAUCUUUAUUUUCAAUCUGCCAUACCUUAUAAUUAAUCUUAAGAGCUGAGACAAGUGUCUCUGGUCCUGGUCUGAGCAGGCUGUCCUGGAAGGAAUGGCACUCCAAGUUGUGAAAGGGGAAGAACACACUGAUAUUGGGUUGAAUCUUAAUCUUUCACUUUACUAUUUCAACUAUACAACUGUUACAUUUUCCUCUAUCAGUAAGAUAGAACUACUGAGUUAAAGGGAAAUAGCUCUACCAAGCCUACCAUUGCCAAGUGCCUAGAUCUGUAAGUUUUUAGCAUUGUAUAAACUUACAGAAGUUGUACUUGAGAACAGUCCUAUUAAAGAUAAUACUUUAAAACUCCUAGGCUUUUUUUGUUUUUUGUUUCCAGUACC